GAUGAACGCUGGCGGCGUGCCUAAUACAUGCAAGUCGAGCGAACAGAUAAGGAGCUUGCUCCUUUUACGUUAGCGGCGGACGGGUGAGUAACACGUGGGUAACCUACCUAUAAGACUGGGAUAACUUCGGGAAACCGAAGCUAAUACCGGAUAACAUUUGGAACCGCAUGGUUCUAAAGUGAAAGAUGGUUUUGCUAUCACUUAUAGAUAUACCCGCUCCGUAUUAGCUAGUUGGUAAGGUAACGGCUUACCAAGGCGACGAUACGUAGCCGACCUGAGAGGGUGAUCGGCCACACUGGAACUGAGACACGGUCCAGACUCCUACGGGAGGCAGCAGUAGGGAAUCUUGCGCAAUAGGCGAAAGCCUGACGGAGCAACGCCGCGUGAGUGAUGAAGGGUUUCGGAUCGUAAAACUCUGUUAUUAGGGAAGAAGAAAUGUGUAAGUAACUGUGCACGUAUUGACGGUACCUACUCAGAAAGCCACGGCUAACUACGUG
rnacentral:rRNA from 1 species